UACGUAGGGUGCAAGCGUUGUCCGGAAUUAUUGGGCGUAAAGAGCUCGUAGGCGGCUUGUCACGUCGACUGUGAAAACCCGGGGCUCAACUCCGGGCCUGCAGUCGAUACGGGCUGGCUUGAGUGCGGUAGGGGAGACUGGAAUUCCUGGUGUAGCGGUGAAAUGCGUAGAUAUCUGGAGGAACACCGGUGGCGAAGGCGGCAUCCUGGACCGACACUGACGCUGAGGAGCGAAAGCCAGGGGAGCAAACGGG
rnacentral:rRNA from 1 species